rfam:Pythium ultimum DAOM BR144 ctg_1117875580856, whole genome shotgun sequence.
AGAGCGCAAGACUCUUAAUCUUGUGGUCGUGGGUUCGAUCCCCACGGUGGGCA